GGAAAAGGAAACCAACAGGGAUUGCCCUAGUAACGGCGAGUGAAGCGGCAACAGCUCAAAUUUGAAAUCUGGCUCUCUUUCGGGGGUCCGAGUUGUAAUUUGCAGAGGGUGCUUUGGCGUCGGCAGCGGUCUAAGUUCCUUGGAACAGGACAUCACAGAGGGUGAGAAUCCCGUACGUGGUCGCCUGCCUUCGCCGUGUAAAGCCCCUUCGACGAGUCGAGUUGUUUGGGAAUGCAGCUCUAAAUGGGAGGUAAAUUUCUUCUAAAGCUAAAUACUGGCCAGAGACCGAUAGCGCACAAGUAGAGUGAUCGAAAGAUGAAAAGCACUUUGGAAAGAGAGUCAAACAGCACGUGAAAUUGUUGAAAGGGAAGCGCUUGCAGCCAGACUUGCUCGUAGUUGCUCACCCGGGUCCGCCCGGGGCACUCUUCUGCGAGCAGGCCAGCAUCAGUUUGGGCGACCGGAUAAAGGCCUCUGUCAUGUAUCUUCCUUCGGGAUGACCUUAUAGGGGAGGCGUAAUGCGGCCAGCCCGGACUGAGGUCCGCGCAUCUGCUAGGAUGCUGGCGUAAUGGCUGUAAGCGGCCCGUCUUGAAACACGGACCAAGGAGUCUAACAUCUAUGCGAGUGUUUGGGUGUCAAGCCCGGGCGCGUAAUGAAAGUGAACGGAGGUGGGAACCCUCUCCGGGGGGUGCACCAUCGACCGAUCCUGAUGUCUUCGGAUGGAUUUGAGUAAGAGCAUAGCUGUUGGGACCCGAAAGAUGGUGAACUAUGCUUGAAUAGGGUGAAGCCAGAGGAAACUCUGGUGGAGGCUCGCAGCGGUUCUGACGUGCAAAUCGAUCGUCAAAUUUGGGCAUAGGGGCGAAAGACUAAUCGAACUAUCUAGUAGCUGGUUCCUGCCGAAGUUUCCC
rnacentral:rRNA from 1 species